UACGUAGGCAGCAAGCGUUGUUCGGAGUUACUGGGCGUAAAGGGUGCGUAGGCGGCUUCUUAAGUCUGGAUGUGAAUCUCCCGGCUCAACUGGGAGGGUGCGCCGGAUACUGAGGGGCUAGAGUGUGGGAGAGGAAGUGGAAUUCCUGGUGUAGCGGUGAAAUGCGUAGAUAUCAGGAGGAACACCGGUGGUGUAAACGGCUUUCUGGACCAUAACUGACGCUGAGGCACGAAAGCGUGGGUAGCAAACAGG
rnacentral:rRNA from 1 species